rnacentral:snRNA from 1 species
AUUAUGGGACAAUCCAUCCCCAUAA